GAUUGAUAUGGAUUCUAAUUGGUCCUGAAUUGAAGUCUGUCAGAAAUGCAUCUGGUACAUUAUUUUCAAUACUCUUUUUAAGAGUGACCAACAGUGAAGAAACCAAACUUUUUUGGGGGCUACUUUCUUGACAUUUAAAACUGGAUGCCCCUGGCAACACUAUUGUUAGUGCAUCUAACUGUUAACUGCUACAACUGCAUAUCAGUUAUACUGGCUCCUCUCCUGAUGGACUUUACCUCCGCUGAUGAGGACUUAUGGCAUGAAUGUUAAAUCCACAUGGAGACAGUCUGAUUCUGGACAAUCCUGUGAAUAUGGAGCCUACAAGCAGUUCAAGCACGCUACCAACAUAAGCAAGUGGCAACUGACAAGACCAUAUGGGAUGGCUUCAGUUCUCAUCACUUGCCCAGCACCACAAGGGAGUUCUGUAUGGCCUCAGGGCAGUGGUGGAGCCAAAUUUUGCACCUAGUAGACCAAAGUACUGUAUAAAGAAAAAGUGAGAGACUUGGAAAGACCAAGAGACAAUCAGAAAACAUCCAUUGUAUCCGAUGCUACAUUAGCAGCAUUGCCGACCUCAGAGGUGAGGCAGGCACCCCCAAAGGCGAGACAACAAAUAGGAGAUAACGAUAGGAAGCCCGACAAUAACCAUCAAAUGAUAACACCACUUAAGGACUAAUGAUUACAGGAUGACAUUGCAAAAUGCAUGGACUCAAAUGGGAAUUUGCAACUAUAAAGCUGGGGUGUUUUGCCAUGGAACUCUGGGUUCAGUCCUGCAAAGCCUUGGAGCAUCGGAUCACGACUGACAAGAGCCCAGCUCCUCACUCGUGCUCAAUCUAA